AGUGUAAACAUUUACUUGCCUGACUGGAUGUGGAAAGGGACUGCUCUCAAUAGAGUAGUUAAAUCUUUACUCAGGAGGAUACUAGAUCCUGGUCAAACUGGUUAAGUAACUUCAGUGGUUAAGAAGGAAACAAUACUGCUGGCUCAUACAAGAAUCUGAAAUUCUGGCCCCACUGGGAUCUAUAGAAAGCUGAUCCAUUACACUGGUACCUCCUUUUAUGCUGACACUGCUGUCACAGCUGCUGGUGAUCACUUCUGAAACUGAACUGUGGACAUGGCCCUGUACACAGUACACUUGGACUCAAAAAGUAUCAGAAAAAAAAGAGGAAAAACAUUAUCUGAACUUUCUGCUUUAAUUAAAAUCCAGCUUUGCAACCGACAGAAAUAAUUUGAUCUCAUAAAAAUGGUUGACCAGACCAAAUAAAGCGUAAGUCAAAAAGUGACUUAUGAAAGUGACUUUGUGACUUUGUGUCUACAGCUU